rnacentral:tRNA from 1 species
GCAGUCGUGGCCGAGUGGUUAAGGCAAUGGGCUAGGAAUCCAUUGGGGUCUCCCCGCACGGGUUUGAAUCCUGUCGACUGCG